CCGGGUUAGCGGGGAAUGCGUAGAUAUCGGAAGAACACCAGGGCGAAGGCGUCUGCUGGCCAUUACUGACGUCAUGAACGAAAGCAGCGGAGCGAAAGGGAUUAGAUACCCUGUAGUCUGGCCGUAAACGAUGAACACUAGUGUCGAGGGAAUCGACCCCUUCGGUGUCGUAGCUAACGCGUUAAGUGUUCCGCCUGGGAGUACGCACGCAAGUGUGAAACUCAAAGGAAUUGACGGGGGCCCGCACAAGCGGUGGAGUAUGUGGUUAAUUCGAUGCAACGCGAAGAACCCUUAUCAGGGUUUGACAUCCUGCGAACCUCUUAGAAAUUUGAGAGUGCCUUCGGGAAUGCAGUGACAGGUGGUGCAUGGCUGUCGUCAGCUCGUGUCGUGAGAUGUUGGGUUAAGUCCCGCAACGAGCGCAACCCUUGUUUUUAGUUAUUUUUCUAGAAAGACUGCCGGUUAUAAGCCGGAGGAAGGCGGGGACGACGUCAAGUCAGCAUGCCCCUUAUACCCUGGGCUACACACGUGCUACAUUGGGUAAGACAAUGAGUCGCGAGCCUGUGAAGGUCAGCAAAUCUAUAAACUUACUCUAAGUUCGGAUUGUAGGCUGUAACUCGCCUACAUGAAGUUGGAAUCGCUAGUAAUCGCUGGUCAGCCAUACAGCGGUGAAUCCGUUCCCGGGCCUUGUACACACCGCCCGUCACACCAUGGGAGCUGGUUAUACCCGAAGUCGUUACUCUAACCGUUUGGAGGGGGGCGCCUAAGGUAGAAUUAGUGACUGGGGUGAAGUCGUAACAAGGUAA
rnacentral:rRNA from 1 species